UGAAAUCCUAGGUCACUAAGAGUGCAAC
rnacentral:piRNA from 1 species